GUGCUCACUUUGGCAGCACAUAUACUAAAAUUGGAAUGAUAGUGAAGAUUAGCAUGGCCCCUGCACAAGGAUAACACACAUUUUUGUGAAGCAUUCCAUAUUUUU